GUCCGGGAAACCCGUUGAACCCCGGUCGUGCUAGGGAUAGGGAAUUGCAAUUAUUUCCCUUGAACGAGGAAUUCCCAGUAAGCGCGAGUCAUUAGCUCGCGUUGAUUACGUCCCUGCCCUUUGUACACACCGCCCGUCGCUACUACCGAUUGAAUGGUUUAGUGAGGUCCUCCGAUUGGACCCGGUCCGGGCGGCGACGUCCGAGCCGGCGUCCGAGAAGACGAUCUAACUUGAUCAUUUAGAGGAAGUAAAAGUCGUAACAAGGUUUCCGUAGGUGAACCUGCGGAAGGAUCAUUA
rnacentral:ncRNA from 1 species